rnacentral:rRNA from 1 species
GACGAACGCUGGCGGCGUGCUUCAUACAUGCAAGUCGAACGAGAACCGAUAGCUUGCUAUCGGGGAAAGUGGCGGACGGGUGAGUAAUAUGUAGAGAAUCUGCCCUUGAGUGGGGGACAACAGAGGGAAACUUCUGCUAAUACCCCAUAUGAGCUAACCUGAAAUGGUUAUCUUGAAAACUCCGGUGCUCAAGGAUGAGUCUGCAUCUGAUUAGCUAGUUGGCGGUGUAAUGGACCACCAAGGCGACGAUCAGUAGCUGGUUUGAGAGGAUGAUCAGCCACAAUGGGACUGAGACACGGCCCAU